UACAAAUUUAUCAGAUAUAAUGAUAUUUUUUUUUUCUCUGGUCAAGUGAGGCUGUUAAAAUGCAGGGGUACCUAAGUAUGCAACCUGGGCUACUUAGGUAUUUAUAUAUCAGGAAAUGAUUGAAUAAGAUGUUUGUUAUUGUUAAAAAAAAAAUUAUAAUUUUUAUGUUUCAAUUACAUUAGUGGUGGUAGAAUCUUAAAAUUACUCCUUCACAAACAAACUGAAUUAGAAAAGGAAUUUGUAAAAGGGAUAACUAGUAUUUGCUUGUUUUCCAAUCCUUAUAAAAUUGUCAUAUUUUUAUAUGUUUAUGCUUUUCACAAUAAAAUGUUGUUUACACUCACAAAGAUCUAAGCACAUAAAAAUCCUAAAGUAUUGCCAAAUUUGAUAUAGGUUAGGAUAAUCACUGUAUGUAUUGUUGAGAAAAAUAAUUUUAGAGGUUGACAUCUGACAAAACAAAAUUCUUAACUCUUUUACUUGGUUUGUACCUAAUUUAAAAUUCAAAUCAAGAUGAAGCAAAAUAUGAUCAGUUAAUUUAGAAUCCCAGUGCAGGAUUUUCUCGCUACAUUGAAGACCCAUUGGUGAACUUUGGCUGUUUUCUGCUCUUUGGUCGGGUUGUUGUCUCUUUGACACAUUCCCCAUUUCCUUUCUCUAUUUUAUUUGUAUGUUUCAAUUUUGAAAUAACUACUUUCUUUAUUUUCAUCAAACAUAUGUUUUGUAAACUAGUCAUUUUUGUGGAAUUCAUAAUUCACUUAACAUUAUAUUUCUUGCUUUGUUUGAUAUCAAGACUAAGGACCGUAUAUGGACCUAUAUGUGCUACACGUCUCAUUAAAAUUAUAUUAUACACACCACAUCUCCUGUAUUCAUCCUUUACUCAAUGUAAAUCUCUGAAAUCCAGAAUGAUAAAAUAAUGAUAUUCCAAAAUUGUACAUUCACAGAAAAAUAUCCUUACACAAUUAGAUGUGUAUAUUUUCUCAAUUGCCUUUUACUGAUACAUGUAUAAGAAAAAAAUCCUAUGAAAAGUCAGCUAGCAAAACUUUUAAGGUUCUACUGGAAAGACAAGUGAUAAUACUAAAUGUUAUGUCUUUCAUUUUGUUUUGUUUUGUUAUAAUUUACUUGUUGGUCUUUACACAUUGUGUGCAUAUUAUUAACCUAUCCUAUUUAUUUGAUGCUUUAAAAUAUGAUGUAAUAAACUGUUUUUCUACAGAAGUUUUUCUUAUUUUAACGAUGAUUUUUAAAAGAUAUCAUGAUAUUUCUAAUUGAAUCAGCACAGUUUAAGUUGCAAUUCUGUUUGUCCUCUCAGUCAAACAAUCGUAACCUGUGAUCUGUCCAUUCAUUAUGUUAUGGUGAAUAUUUGUUUUAAUUGUUUUCAUGAGUAAAUGUGAACCACCUAAUUACAAAAUACAAGUUUCUUAGAGUUUUGUAAGCAUAAGUUGUCAAAACCACAAAAAACAAGUAUCCAUCAAAAGAAAGUUUUUCCAUAAUCCAUGAAAAUUUGUACCCCCAUAAUAAAGAUUGAUAC
rnacentral:lncRNA from 1 species